AGUGAACGCUGGCGGUAGGCCUAACACAUGCAAGUCGAACGGCAGCACAGUAAGAGCUUGCUCUUACGGGUGGCGAGUGGCGGACGGGUGAGGAAUACAUCGGAAUCUACUUUUUCGUGGGGGAUAACGUAGGGAAACUGACGCUAAUACCGCAUACGACCUACGGGUGAAAGCAGGGGAUCUUGGGACCUUGCGCGACUGAAUGAGCCGAUGUCGGAUUAGCUAGUUGGCGAGGUAAAGGCACACCAAGGCGACGAUCCGUAGCUGGUCUGAGAGGAUGAUCAGCCACACUGGAACUGAGACACGGUCCAGACUCCUACGGGAGGCAGCAGUGGGGAAUAUUGGACAAUGGGCGCAAGCCUGACGCAGCCAUGCCGCGUGGGUGAAGAAGGCCUUCGGAUUGUAAAGCCCUUUUGUUAGGAAAGAAAAGCAGCAGGUUAAUCCCCCGCUGUUCUGACGGUACCCAAAGAAUAAGCACCGGCUAACUUCGUG
rnacentral:rRNA from 1 species